GUCAGGAGCAAUAGCAUUUUUACAUGUUAAAUGCACAAGGUCCCAACGGAUCACUGAAGUUAAGCAACGUUAUGCUUGAUUGGUAUAUAGACGGGUGACCAUUUGGGAAACCAUGUGCUCCUAGCU
rfam:Asian citrus Psyllid, Diaphorina citri - Florida Strain, whole genome shotgun sequence.